rnacentral:rRNA from 1 species
GAACUCGGCAAAAUGACCCCGUAACUUAGGGAUAAGGGGUGCCACCAUCAGGUGGCCGCAGAGAAUAGGCCCAAGCGACUGUUUACCAAAAACAUAGGUUUCUGCUAAGUCGCAAGACGAUGUAUAGGAGCUGACGCCUGCCCGGUGCUGGAAGGUUAAGGGGAUCUGUUAGAGCAAUCGAAGCAGUGAACUUAAGCCCCAGUAAACGGCGGCCGUAACUAUAACGGUCCUAAGGUAGCGAAAUUCCUUGUCGGGUAAGUUCCGACCCGCACGAAAGGCGUAACGAUUUGGGCACUGUCUCAACAACAGACUCGGUGAAAUUGUAAUUCCGGUGAAGAUGCCGGAUACCUGCGACAGGACGGAAAGACCCCAUGGAGCUUUACUGUAGCUUGACAUUGGGUCUUGGUACUACAUGUACAGGAUAGGUGGGAGGCUUUGAAACCAGGACGCCAGUUUUGGCGGAGCCAUCCUUGGGAUACCACCCUUGUAGUACUGGGACUCUAACCAUAGGCCAUGAAUCUGGUCUUGGGACACUGUCAGGUGGGCAGUUUGACUGGGGCGGUCGCCUCCCAAAAGGUAACGGAGGCGCUCAAAGGUUCUCUCAGUACGGUCGGAAAUCGUACGUAGAGUGUAAAGGCAAAAGAGAGCUUGAUUGCAAGACAUACAGGUCGAGCAAGGAUGAAAAUCGGACUUAGUGAUCCGGUGGUUCUGCGUGGAAGGGCCAUCGCUCAACGGAUAAAAGCUACCCUGGGGAUAACAGGCUUAUCUCCCCCAAGAGUCCACAUCGACGGGGAGGUUUGGCACCUCGAUGUCGGCUCAUCACAUCCUGGGGCUGUAGUAGGUCCCAAGGGUUGGGCUGUUCGCCCAUUAAAGUGGUACGCGAGCUGGGUUCAGAACGUCGUGAGACAGUUCGGUCCCUAUCCGUCGCAGGCGUAGGAAAUUUGAGAAGACCUGUCCUUAGUACGAGAGGACCGGGAUGGACG